rnacentral:rRNA from 1 species
CAGCAGCCGCGGUAAUACGGAGGGGGCUAGCGUUGUUCGGAAUUACUGGGCGUAAAGCGUACGUAGGCAGCUUUGUAAGUUAGAGGUGAAAGCCUGGUGCUCAACACCAGAACUGCCUUUAAGACUGCAUCGCUUGAACGUCGGAGAGGUGAGUGGAAUUCCGAGUGUAGAGGUGAAAUUCGUAGAUAUUCGGAAGAACACCAGUGGCGAAGGCGGCUCACUGGACGACUGUUGACGCUGAGGUACGAAAGCGUGGGGAGCAAACAGGAUUAGAUACCCGCGUAGUCCCUGUCUCUUAUAC